UCUCAUGCAAGUUGGUCUUGCUACUUUCUUCCAGAGACAUCCCAAGAAUGUCGGGAUCGUGCUUUUGAUCUCAUGAAUCAUAAGGAAGCAUGGGACAAGGGAAUCAUAAAAGCAAAAGAGAACUAUACUUCUAAAGAGAUAUGGGCAAGACGGACUCCUAGAAACUGGGGUGCUCCUUGGAGUUAUUUGCAGCCAACAACAUAAAUUAACGGAAGUUUUGUGGCAUUUCAUCGGAAAAUGGACAGAAGAUGGUGGCGAUCACAGUUAGCAAAUAUCUCCAACAUCAGCAGAAUGAUGUCUUAUUGGGACACAGGGAACAAAGAAUUUAUAUGAGAAUGUUAGCUCAUAUGGUCUGCCAUCAACGAAUUUAUAUGUUGUUUUUUUUUUUCAAUUUUGUAAAGUGUAAUAUUACAAGUUAGUGAACAAA